AUUUUGGACAAUGGGCGAAAGCCUGAUCCAGCAAUGCCGCGUGCAGGAUGAAGGCCCUCGGGUUGUAAACUGCUUUUGUACGGAACGAAAAGACUCUCUCUAAUAAAGUGGGUUGAUGACGGUACCGUAAGAAUAAGCACCGGCUAACUACGUGCCAGCAGCCGCGGUAAUACGUAGGGUGCGAGCGUUAAUCGGAAUUACUGGGCGUAAAGCGUGCGCAGGCGGUUAUGUAAGACAGAUGUGAAAUCCCCGGGCUCAACCUGGGAACUGCAUUUGUGACUGCAUGGCUAGAGUACGGUAGAGGGGGAUGGAAUUCCGCGUGUAGCAGUGAAAUGCGUAGAUAUGCGGAGGAACACCGAUGGCGAAGGCAGUCCCCUGGACCUGUACUGACGCUCAUGCACGAAAGCGUGGGGAGCAAAC
rnacentral:rRNA from 1 species